AGGAGGAAAUUCUCCACUCAGAGGAUGGUGAAGCACAGGUCUCCCAGAGAGAUUGUGGAUGCCCCUUCCAUGGAGAUGUUCAAGGCCAGGUCAGAUGAGGCCCUUGACAACUUGAUCUAGUGGGAAGCUGAAAUAAAAGGCAGGAGGGAUUUGGGUAUAGCAGUCAAAUGUGCCAAAGCAAAGUCUUGGUGCAUGACAGCAUUUUCUUAUGGUUCAUGUCUCCCAGAGCACAAAGAGCCAAAGGGCUAUAGUAUCCGAUGGUGCCUUGGGCAACCACAUUGAGCAGCUGACUCCUGUAUACAGUAAGCACUGUAGAUGGGAGAAUGGAAUUGUAAUCAUAGGGCAGGGAGGACUGGUGUGUCAUAGUCUAAGUGGGGAAACUAAGUGAUAAAACUAACUUGCAGAUGUGCAUUCCUCCUGCACCAUGCUGGUGCAAACUAGCAAGACCACCAUCUGCAUCCAGUUCUGGCACUGUCUGAGAUUUGAGUUAUUGAAUGAUCCUUUCAGCUGCCUUGUCUAUUGGGACUAUAGGGAGGACAAAACCAUAAACAGCACAAUAUAAACAAGUAUGUAAGAAUAAAGGAUUCAUCCACAGUGCAAACUGAUAAGUACAAUUGGCCUUAUUAUUACAAGCUUUGAUAGGCAGCUUCAUUCAUUCACCAUCAUAUUCUCACCAUCACGAUUCUCAGUUUCCUCCAAUGAUUUCCCUAAUGUCUGACCCAGAAAGACAUGUUUGUUGCAUGGCUUUGAACAUCAUAAUAAGUCAAGGGGAAAUUUCUUCAUAGUAACUGUAACUCAGACUUUUAUUACAGAUAUGAAUUUGAAUCUUGUUUCUUACAUUACUGGAAGAAUUUAUUAGAUAUCACUUGACUUCGUGUUUGGACAAAUCAUCUCAAUGGCCAUGUGGGACUGAAGGAAGUAGGUCAGAUGCUUACUAGGCAGGAGCUCAGGGACACUUUUUGGGAUAAAGCACUUUUAAAAGAUGUCAGACCUCAAGGUGUUUGCCAAACGAAUAUAAGGAUGAAACAGCCACAGUCAUAUAAUUAAAUAAUGUCAUGUUUUACUGUUUUUAGUUGGACCUUGAAUAAACAGUAACUCAUAGUUGCUAGCUGGCUAGAAUCUACCAGAAAAUAUUCUCUGAAAGAGCACUCCAGUUACCCUACAAUAUGAAGAAGAAAUCUGCUAGCAAAGUCAGAUUCUAUCUCAAAGAAAGUUCUGAAUUCAUAUUGGAAGGAAUAAUAUACUUUCCUAUUGUAUAAAUAAGUUUACAAAAUGUUAUUGCAUGGCAAAAGUCAAGUUUGGGGAAUUUUCUCACAGACACAGGGAAAGGAGUACUAGAAGAUACAGUAUGAACAAUGACAUGGCUCCGUGAAUGAGGUUUACUUUUAUAUUAUUAGAAAACUGAAUUUUGGUCUCUCUCUUUUUUUUUUUUUUUUUUUUUUUUUCUUCCCAAAGUGACACUGUGUGUAAUCUUUUACUUUUGCCCAGCUUGCACAUAUAACAAAUUGCUGGCUCCCUCAGUCAGCUAUAUGAGGUUUGGACAAUCAAGGAGUAUUAUAUGUGCUCAGCUGGCAAGGUGAACCAAGCCCAUGAUAAUCUGGUAAGGCUUUCCCUAGACCAAAAUGUACUGCAGCUACUGUAUUAAAACAUAGGAGAGUUAGUUUUACAGGGCUUCCUUUCCAGAAAAAUUCUGUAAAAACACUUUGUACCCAAUACUCCUGUCUUGCCCUAUGCUGGGUGUUGAAGACUGUAGCACCAGGACUCUAAAGCCACUGCUCUUCCUUGACAGAUACUUAGUGGGGGCUCCUAACACUGGGUUACAACUGCAGAAGGCUGGGUCCCUUGGCUUGUUACGUGAUCCCAAGUAUAAGGCAAUCUCUGCACGUGCAUGCAUGCCUGCUUUUAGAAGACAAGAUAUAAGACAAUAACACCACGUUCAGGGCCAAAAGAAAAGUAUGUGCAUGCACAUACGAAUGUACAUGCACACAAAAAGCAAAGGGCAAUGCAUAUUCAGAUAAAUACAGUUCACUAGGGGAUGUUUCUUCAUUUACCCUCUGUGGAAUGUGCAGAUGUUCCAGGGCUGCUUGAGGUAUUAUGCAGGUUUGAAUCCAAAACUAGCUUCUCCUAGUGCUCCAGAAACUCUUUGUUUGGCACUACUUCCAGUCAGCCACAGUACUUGGGAUUGUGCCAGGAAAAAGUCUGGAGGACAGCUCGGCACAAGGACUCCUCUGGAGCACUGCUCUAGUGCUUUGGGGGCUCAGCCAAGCAUUUCAUAUGGACCUCAGAGUAUGGAUACCUACCCUGACAGAUCUAUGCAAGUGACCUUUAAAGUAAAGUACUGCUAUGCUGUAAAGCACACAUGCUGUUGUAGCAUGAGUGUGACUCCAGUCAAAAUUAGAUCUUAUGCAAAGUUUGUCUUCAGUGUUUCUUCCUGCCUUGGUGUAGGUGGCUUCUGGCUUGCAGAAAACACGGAUGAUAGGCUCCUUCUGGAAAGACAUGUAUUGCAUAGUCCACCAAAUCGCUAUUACUGAGCUUAGAGAGGUUUUGUUGGUGAUACUAAGUGGCCAUGUGAAACCCCACCAUGCCCAGAGGAGAAGAGAGAGCACUGGUCCUUUGAAUAGCAGCAUGGAUGGUGGGCCUACUCCUAUGGGAGCGUAUAGUGUCCACACCAAGGUGCAUGACAGCUGGGCCACAGCUUGAACAGGUAUGCCUGAGGUCCUGCAAUCAGACACAACAGCAAAUUGCCUGGCUGAGACAAGUAUCCAGACCACUCAAGUUUGGUGGCCCACAGUUGGCCUGGUGUACCCAGAAGAGCUGAGAGCAGCCUUGUGAGGUUUCUAGCUCAGGAGCAGAAUGGGUACCUCCUUGUGUCAGCUGCAGGCACUUGACUGUCAAAAACAGGUGUGGGGGAGCUUUGGGGCCUUUAGGUGGGGAGAAGGUGGAAUUUCAACCAUCACAGCUAUGCUCCCAAUCUCUCCCCAACUCCUGUGUUGAGCAUCUCAGCACUCUGCCCAAUCCAGGCCUGGUCCAGUUGCUUUACAUAGAGUACAUUAAAAGUAUGGUUCUACAUUUUAGCUGAAGUUAGCUAAAAUUAAGCUGAAUGUUAGCUAAAAUGAAGCUGAAAUUAGUGAAUCUUUAGCAAGAUUGCACAAGCAGAGGGAAGUAAUAUAACUGAGGUUAUGGCAGGAGCUGGAAAUAGUAUGGGGUUCACAGGGUUAUAAAUCUCCAGGAGAGUCGGAAUUUAAAAUAAUACAAUACUGAGGGAACGCAGAAUCCGAUGUAGUUACUUCUCAUUUCUAUUGAUCUGAAAGAGGAACUUUACUUUAUCUCAAAUGCAGUGUACCUGAUGGUUUAACUGUCCUUUUAAAGACCUGUGUCUAAAACUGGAAAUAACCCAUCUGUUUAGUAGGUUCUUUUGCUAACUCUAAAACUGGUGGAAUUAGAAAAAUAAAACAAAAUAAAAUUAAUGCAUUCAUUUAAUUGAACAUUGGUUUCCAUGCACAAGGUAAUAAAUAAUCAUAAUGGAGAUUUACAGAAUAUGGCUUUUAUUGCCAAGUAUUUUAUAUUUGUUACUGGAGAAGAUGUUUUAUGUAGGAGCCACCCUCCACAUAGUGUUUCAAAUUUCUUUUCAAACUACUAAAGUGGUCACUGGAGACAUUGUGAGCUAUUGUAAUUUCGAUUCAUAACAAUCAGUUUUAACAAUCUUACAAGGUUGUUGCCUAACUCUAAUUCUUAGUCUUCUUUAAAGGUAACUAUUUGAUAUAUAUCACCAUUAAUAAAUGAAAGGAAUUCCAUUCAGAACCACAAAGGACAUUGUAAUUAACAACAUGAUGGUAGGUAAGAAAAUAGGCAGCAAACUAGAGAAGUAAUUGACCACAUAGGGACUGUCUCUUAAAUCAUUUAAAAACAGAAAUAUUUCAGGUGCAUAGCAUUAAUUUAAUUUAGAUGUAAUAUGAUUGCAGCUGAGGCUGAUUAUUCUUGAACUGAGGGAAUAGUCUGUGGUUUUACAGUUACUGUAAAAAUCUACAGCUCUUAAUUCUAUGAAUACAUUUUUCAUAAACUGACAUGGUUUACCAUUUAAUUACUUUCACAUCAGAUUUAAAUUAAAUAUAUAUUUGAGAGCACGAAGUGGAUGUUGUGGGAAAUGUGGAAAACUCUGCUCCCAUACAAAAGACUCUUUUGACAGACUUCUAACUCCAGUAGAAAAACUUGUUAGUACACCUUAAAUCGAGUACUUGGGAAGUGUGAAGACAGCAAGAGGUUCAGCUAACUAACCAGCUCCCUGUUGGACAUGUGAAGAAAUGUUCCUGCUUCACUGUGAAAAAAAAGAAAACAACAAAGCACAAAUAUUCUUACUGCAGCUGUUCUUCCUAUUUGAAAUGGCAACACUUGCAAUGGAGGAAAUUGAACUUCAGCUAGAUGGGAUUUGGAGAAGAUGAAGGUUACCUACAACUGUUUCAGUGAGACACAUCACCACAAGCAUUAUUAGAAAUAUGCUUAAUUACAUUAGUUUUAGGUAAAGAUGAUCUGUCUAAAGAUGAUCACUGAGAAUGUAAACACAGGAAAUGUCUGAUCCAAAGCAAAUGCAAUGAAGUCUUUCAGUUUGUUGAAAUGUCUAGAUUUUUUUGGAUUUCUGAAUUACAGUAUGUUAAUUACAAAGUCGUUAUAGAGGUUUUGCUUUAUUACAAAAUCUGUGAUUCUUGAAGUUUUUAAGCAUACUCCUUUUGUUAUGAUAAAUACUCAAUAAAAUUAAGUUCUGCCAUAGACAAAAAGCCAGGGCAAGAUCUUCUUGCUACAAGAAUGUCACUCAGUGCUUAAUUCUGAUUUAAAUCAUAGCCAGGUUAAGUUCCAUUCUAAAUGCAGUGCUAUGGUACUGUAGUACUUUGGACUUGCACAUCUUACUACUGCCUCCUGGCAUCUCAGAGAUCUAAUCCUUUGAAUCGGGAAGUAAAGUGACAGCAAUCACAGUAAAUGAAGACAGGUUAGUUCAUCUUGAUACAAAUAAAAACAAUGCUCUGUGAGCCUUUCCACGAUAUUUAUUAUUAUCUCCUCUUGUGAAGGUGAUAACUUGAAAAACACUUUUUUUUUUUUUCGUCUAAGUAGACAUACUCAAUAGAAUCAUAGUUAAAGCAUUGUUUCAUAAGGUAUUAUGUCUUGUUCCAUAUUUCAGUAUGAAUAAGGCUUCCAUUUCGAAGUCCAGUUUAUAACCUUGUUAAUAAGGAUUUUUUAAUCUUAUUCAAUAGAUAAAAAUUAUUACUGGCUAUGGCAGCUGCUGCAGUUUUCUCUCUUCAGACUUCUAGAUAUCCAGAAAAUAUAGUCUUAGUGAACCACAGUUCUUCUCAGAGUAUACCAGGUUUGUUUAUAAUAUGGAUUAGGAAGUAAAUGGCUGAAUACAACUCAGUCCCACCUCAUAUUUCAGUCUUCCUCCAAAUUAGUUUUCAUUAUAUUACCUCAGUUCAUUUAGAUUUUCCUGCCUUAUAGCAUCUUCCUUAGGAAGUAAGGUAUAUUUCUGCCUCUCAGCCUCUCUCCACUGCAUGUAUUCUACCAAGAGCUUGUGUCCUCCAGCCCCCUGCUGAACUCUACCUAUAAAUAGUUUACAAGAUGGUGUGAUUAAUGCUAAAAUUGUAAGACACUUUAAUGGUGAAGAUUGGCAAAGGUUUUUGAAAGCAUUUUACCACAUUCUGUAUUUAUUUUACCUAAACCUAACCAAAUUUUCCCAAUCCUUCCCUCCACACAGUUUUUGACUCUUUUGACAAAAAUGGAAGUCAAAACAUGUUGACUUUUUGUUGAUUUUUUUUUUUUUUUUCUUCUCACUGAAGAGAAAUAAAUGCCAGGGAGGAAUGAAUUGAGGGGAAAUUAUGUGAACUGAAAGCAGUACAUAUUGCAUAGUUAGGGUUGGAACUGUGAGUUGCAGGAAAAAAUCAAGAAAGGGGAACUCAGAGCAAGAGUAAGCUUGAAGGAGCUGUGAGUUACACUUUCUGAGAAUAACAAUAUCCUUAAAUAUGCUAGUUAAAUGUGUGUGUGUGCUUGUAUGCAUGUGUGUGUAUAAGCCCACACCCAUUUCUUCUCCUCUGUAUUUGGAAUGUAUAACUGGAAUAUACUUUCUCAGUGCAUUCCGAGGAUAAAAAGGUAUUCUGGGAGCUACUAUCAGGGGUACAAUAAAGUGUGAGGGCACUUCAGAAGUCUCCAAACAUUUUAAGACUUUAACUGACUGUAAUAUGUUAAUCACCAGUUAAAACUGUAGUGAAAGAUUUUAAAAUAUGUCUGCUUUCUGUGUGUUUUCAAAUGAAAAUACUCCUUGUCUUUCCUUUGUGCAGAAGUGUUUGGCCAGAAUUCUUAGGGGAAAACUGAGA